rnacentral:rRNA from 1 species
UGGGGAAUAUUGGACAAUGGGCGCAAGCCUGAUCCAGCCAUGCCGCGUGAGUGAUGAAGGCCUUAGGGUUGUAAAGCUCUUUCAGUGGGGACGAUAAUGACGGUACCCACAGAAGAAGCCCCGGCUAACUUCGUGCCAGCAGCCGCGGUAAUACGAAGGGGGCUAGCGUUGUUCGGAUUUACUGGGCGUAAAGCGCACGUAGGCGGAUCGUUAAGUCGGGGGUGAAAUCCUGGAGCUCAACUCCAGAACUGCCUUCGAUACUGGCGAUCUUGAGUCCGGAAGAGGUGAGUGGAACUCCUAGUGUAGAGGUGGAAUUCGUAGAUAUUAGGAAGAACACCAGUGGCGAAGGCGGCUCACUGGUCCGGUACUGACGCUGAGGUGCGAAAAGCGUGGGGAGCAAACAGGAUUAGAUACCCUGGUAGUCCACGCCGUAAACUAUGAGAGCUAGCCGUUGGAGGAUUUUAUCCUUCAGUGGCGCAGCUAACGCAUUAAGCUCUCCGCCUGGGGAGUACGGUCGCAAGAUUAAAACUCAAAGGAAUUGACGGGGUCAUAGCUGUUUCCU